rnacentral:misc_RNA from 1 species
GAUGAAGAACGCAGCGAAAUGCGAUAAUAAUGCGAAUUGCAGAAUUCAGUGAAUCAUCGAAUCUUUGAACGCACAUUGCGCCCGCCAGUAUUCUGGCGGGCAUGCCUGUCCGAGCGUCAUUUCAACCAUCAAGCCCCGGGCUUGUGUUGGGGACCUGCGUCCGACGCAGGCCCCGAAAACCAGUGGCGGGCUCGCUGUCCACACCGAGCGUAGUAGCUAACCUCGCUCCGGAGUGGCGCGGGCGCCUGCCGUAAAACCCCCCCAAUUUUACAAGGUUGACCUCGGAUCAGGUAGGAAUACCCGCUGAACUUAAGCAUAUCAAUAAGCGGAGGA